rnacentral:rRNA from 1 species
UAGGGAAUCUUCCGCAAUGGGCGAAAGCCUGACGGAGCAACGCCGCGUGAGUGAUGAAGGUCUUCGGAUCGUAAAACUCUGUUAUUAGGGAAGAACAAAUGUGUAAGUAACUAUGCACGUCUUGACGGUACCUAAUCAGAAAGCCACGGCUAACUACGUGCCAGCAGCCGCGGUAAUACGUUGGUGGCAAGCGUUAUCCGGAAUUAUUGGGCGUAAAGCGCGCGUAGGCGGUUUUUUAAGUCUGAUGUGAAAGCCCACGGCUCAACCGUGGAGGGUCAUUGGAAACUGGAAAACUUGAGUGCAGAAGAGGAAAGUGGAAUUCCAUGUGUAGCGGUGAAAUGCGCAGAGAUAUGGAGGAACACCAGUGGCGAAGGCGACUUUCUGGUCUGUAACUGACGCUGAUGUGCGAAAGCGUGGGGAUCAAACAGG